GCGCACCAGGCGCGAAACCUCCGCAAUGCGGGAAACCGCGACGGGGGACCCCGAGUGCCGUGGCAACGCCACGGCUUUUCCGGAGUGUAAAAAGCUCCGGGAAUAAGGGCUGGGCAAGGCCGGUGGCAGCCGCCGCGGUAAUACCGGCGGCCCGAGUGGUGGCCGCUAUUAUUGGGCCUAAAGCGUCCGUAGCCGGGCCCGUAGGUCCCUGGCGAAAUCCCACGGCUCAACCGUGGGGCUUGCUGGGGAUACUGCGGGUCUUGGGACCGGGAGAGGCGGGGGGUACCCCUGGGGUAGGGGUGAAAUCCUAUAAUCCCAGGGGGACCGCCAGUGGCGAAGGCGCCCCGCUGGAACGGGUCCGACGGUGAGGGACGAAGGCCAGGGGAGCAAACC
rnacentral:rRNA from 1 species